AAAACUUUCAACAACGGAUCUCUUGGUUCUGGCAUCGAUGAAGAACGCAGCGAAAUGCGAUAAGUAAUGUGAAUUGCAGAAUUCAGUGAAUCAUCGAAUCUUUGAACGCACAUUGCGCCCUUUGGUAUUCCGAAGGGCAUGCCUGUCCGAGCGUCAUUACACCCCUCGAACCCCCCGGGUUUGGUGUUGGGCGACGCCCGCAGCGGCCAGCCUCAAAGCGAAUGACGGUUCCCAACCAACCUCGGGCGUACAAGCAUCGCGACGGUGGACGGUUGGGGGCUGGUCCCACAUGCUAUCAAGCUUCUGAAUGUUGACCUCGGAUCAGGUAGGGAUACCCGCUGAACUUAAGCAUAUCAAUAAGCGGAGGAAAAGAAACCAACAGGGAUUGCCUCAGUAACGGCGAGUGAAGCGGCAACAGCUCAAAUUUGAAAUCUGGCCCUUCCGGGGUCCGAGUUGUAAUUUGUAGAGGAUGUUUCGGGCAAGAUCCAGGUCUAAGUUCCUUGGAACAGGACGUCAUAGAGGGUGAGAAUCCCGUACGUGACCGUGGAUCGCGCCCGUGUGAAACUCCUUCGACGAGUCGAGUUGUUUGGGAAUGCAGCUCAAAAUGGGUGGUAAAUUUCAUCUAAAGCUAAAUAUUGGCCAGAGACCGAUAGCGCACAAGUAGAGUGAUCGAAAGAUGAAAAGCACUUUGAAAAGAGAGUUAAACAGUAUGUGAAAUUGUUGAAAGGGAAGCGCUUGCCACCAGACUUGUUCCGCGGGUUCAACCCCCCUCCGGGGGCGGUGUACUUCCCGCGGUCAGGCCAGUAUCGGUUCGGGCGGAGGGUCAAAGGCCCCGGGAACGUGAUACCUCUCGGGGUAUGUUAUAGCCCGGGGCGGAAUGCCUCCUGCCUGGACCGAGGAACGCGCUCCGGCUCGGAUACUGGCGUAAUGGUUGCAAGCGACCCGUCUUGAAACACGGACCAAGGAGUCUAACAUCUAUGCGAGUGUUUGGGUGUCAAACCCAUGCGCGAAAUGAAAGUGAACGGAGGUGGGAGCCCUCGGGCGCACCAUCGACCGAUCCUGAUGCCUUCGGAUGGAUUUGAGUAAGAGCAUAACUGUUGGGACCCGAAAGAUGGUGAACUAUGCCUGAAUAGGGUGAAGCCAGAGGAAACUCUGGUGGAGGCUCGCAGCGGUUCUGACGUGCAAAUCGAUCGUCAAAUUUGGGUAUAGG
rnacentral:rRNA from 1 species